rnacentral:rRNA from 1 species
AUGUUUGGUUUGCGUACCAUAAUGUUUGCCACGAGUCGCGCCACACUUCUAUUAGACCUAUGGCCCAUAGGUAAAAUACACAUCUUCCACUUACAAAAAAUACUUUGGAGCUAUGCAAUUAUAAAAUAUUACAGGGCAAGCAUGCAGUUCUCAAAUAUGUUCCUCAAUUCAAAUUUGAAGUUUGAAAAAGCAAAAUAUAAAUAUACAAAGCAGCAUAAAGUAGAUAAAUUGAUGAAGCAGCAUGGCAUUGUUCCACACCAAAAUAAAUUGGAAGUGUAUGAACGUAUCAAUAUAAAUUAA